rnacentral:rRNA from 1 species
CCUACGGGAGGCAGCAGUGGGGAAUAUUGGGCAAUGGACGCAAGUCUGACCCAGCAACGCCGCGUGAAGGAAGAAGGCUUUCGGGUUGUAAACUUCUUUUAAGGGGGAAGAGCAGAAGACGGUACCUCUUGAAUAAGCCACGGCUAACUACGUGCCAGCAGCCGCGGUAAUACGUAGGUGGCAAGCGUUGUCCGGAUUUACUGGGUGUAAAGGGCGUGCAGCCGGGGAGACAAGUCAGAUGUGAAAUCCAGGGGCUCAACCGGUGAACUGCAUUUGAAACUGUUUUCCUUGAGUGUCGGAGAGGUAAUCGGAAUUCCUUGUGUAGCGGUGAAAUGCGUAGAUAUAAGGAAGAACACCAGUGGCGAAGGCGGAUGACUGGACGACAACUGACGGUGAGGCGCGAAAGCGUGGGGAGCAAACAGGAUUAGAUACCCGAGUAGUC